CCUACGGGUGGCUGCAGUGAGGAAUAUUGGUCAAUGGCCGGAAGGCUGAACCAGCCAUGCCGCGUGAAGGUCAGUGCCCUAUGGGCGUUAAACUUCUUUUGUGCGGGAGCAAUAAUGGUCACGUGUGGCCAGACGAGAGUACCGUACGAAUAAGCAUCGGCUAACUCCGUGCCAGCAGCCGCGGUAAUACGGGGGAUGCAAGCGUUAUCCGGAUUUAUUGGGUUUAAAGGGUGCGUAAGCUGUGAGGUAAGUCAGCGGUGAAAUGCCCCUGCGCAACGGGGUGAAGUGCCAUUGAUACUGCCUGGCUGGAAUGCGGAUGCCGUGGGAGGAAUGUGUGGGGUAGCGGUGAAAUGCAUAGAUAUCACACAGAACACCGAUUGCGAAGGCAUCUCACGAAUCCGCGAUUGACGCUGAUGCACGAAAGCGUGGGUAUCAAACAGGAUUAGAUACCCGGGUAGUC
rnacentral:rRNA from 1 species